rnacentral:rRNA from 1 species
ACUCAAAUGAAUAGACGGGGACCCGCACAAGCGGUGGAACAUGUGGUUUAAUUCGACGCUAAGCGUGGAACCUCACCAAGGUUUGACAUAGAGCUGCACGAUCAUGGAAACAUGAUCUCCUUCGAGGGUGCUCUACAGGUGCUGCAUGGUUGUCGUCAGCUCGUGCUGUGAAGUGUACCCUUAAGUGGGGUAACGAGCGCAACCCCUAUGUCGUGUUACAAUGUCACGACAGACUGCCUCGGCCAACGGGGAGGAAGGUGGGGAUGACGUCAAAUCAGCAUGGCUCUUACACCUUGGGCUACACACGUGUUACAAUGGGUUGUACAAUGGGCCGCCAAGUCGCGAGACGGAGCUAACCCCAACAAAGCAACCCCCAGUUCGGAUUGGAGUCUGCAAUUCGACUCCAUGAAGCCGGAAUCGCUAGUAAACGCGCAUCAGACACGGCGCGUUGAAUACGUUCUCGGGUCUUGUACACACCGCCCGU